UUUGUAUGAUGAUAAGAGUAUAGUUUCGCAUUUUAACUGAAUUUUAAGUGAUGAAACACUUUCUCUUGGCAGUCUGAUUAA